UGAACGCUGGCGGCAGGCCUAACACAUGCAAGUCGAACGGUAACAGGAAGAGCUUGCUUCUUUGCUGACGAGUGGCGGACGGGUGAGUAAUGUCUGGGAAACUGCCUGAUGGAGGGGGAUAACUACUGGAAACGGUAGCUAAUACCGCAUAACGUCGCAAGACCAAAGAGGGGGACCUUCGGGCCUCUUGCCAUCGGAUGUGCCCAGAUGGGAUUAGCUAGUAGGUGGGGUAACGGCUCACCUAGGCGACGAUCCCUAGCUGGUCUGAGAGGAUGACCAGCCACACUGGAACUGAGACACGGUCCAGACUCCUACGGGAGGCAGCAGUGGGGAAUAUUGCACAAUGGGCGCAAGCCUGAUGCAGCCAUGCCGCGUGUAUGAAGAAGGCCUUCGGGUUGUAAAGUACUUUCAGCGGGGAGGAAGGGAGUAAAGUUAAUACCUUUGCUCAUUGACGUUACCCGCAGAAGAAGCACCGGCUAACUCCGUGCCAGCAGCCGCGGUAAUACGGAGGGUGCAAGCGUUAAUCGGAAUUACUGGGCGUAAAGCGCACGCAGGCGGUUUGUUAAGUCAGAUGUGAAAUCCCCGGGCUCAACCUGGGAACUGCAUCUGAUACUGGCAAGCUUGAGUCUCGUAGAGGGGGGUAGAAUUCCAGGUGUAGCGGUGAAAUGCGUAGAGAUCUGGAGGAAUACCGGUGGCGAAGGCGGCCCCCUGACGAAGACU
rnacentral:rRNA from 1 species